rnacentral:misc_RNA from 1 species
CCGAGUGAGGGCCUCCGGGUCCGACCUCCAACCCUUUGUUGACCAACACCUGUUGCCUCGGGGGCGACCCGGACGCCGACGCCGUCGGCCGUCGGGCCCCCGACGGACCACUCUCCAACUCUGCAUCCAUGCGUCGGAGUGACGAGUAAAUGAAUCA